AGUACUCAAUAUUGUCAUUUAAUCUAAAAUAAAAACAUCAGGUAAAUAUCAGGUCUUUCGUAUAUCCGGUUAUUAGUGUGUCCCAAAAGUCGGACACAUGUUUACAAACUGAAAGUUGGAAAUCAUGUGAAGUUGAGCAUUUCUUACCACACAAGCCACAGGCCGUAUGUAGACAUGCACGCACAUUUAAUCUGCAGCUACGAAGUACUUUAUCAAUCCUCUGGAGCAUUAUUUUCAGCAGAAUUAUCCGAUUUAUAAAUUUUUGUGUGAAUUGUUUACGAGGAAAUUCCGACUGUUACAUUAACAAGCUGACCACUCUUGACUCUGGUUCGUGGUUCCCAGUGAUAAAUGUAUCGAGUGAUGAAAGAGUCGACGGUGACAUUUUAAAGUUUGAUUGGCGUGGACUAUCGGAAUGAAGAUGACUGCAGGAAUGGUUUGUUUGAUUAUUGGCCUAUCAAACAUUUUCCAGUCAUUUGAUGAUGCCACCACUUGGGAUAGUAAGCUGCAAAUAUAGACUUGUACUCAGCACUUAUUGCCUUUGAGAAGUAAGGGAUCCUUUUGACACUGAAUCUCGGUGUAUGCGGUCUCAUUGGAGUAACCCGUCUGAAGCAUUUAGCAAUGGGAUUGGAACCUGUGAUGUGUGACUGUCAUCAGAGUACUGAAAUUUGAUUCCAAGCACGAUCAUGAUUUGCCAGAAGAGCAUCUGUUGGGGGAUGACAAGGAAUAAACAGCAUAAUGAAAUUGAAACAUUCAUGUGAAACAGUCUUAGUUUAUGAUAUUGACUUUAAAUAUUCAUAUUUAAAUUUUGAUUUGAGAAACAGACAUAAAUCCACAAAUAUGAACAAAUCAAUUGCUUUCAGUUUUUCAAGAGAAAUAGAUUUUGUUACAGAGUCUAUCUUUAGUUUGGAAUAAAUAUUCUUUUUAAGUAUGUGUCAGAUCUUGCAUGUUAACAUCUGUAUUGAG